rnacentral:rRNA from 1 species
GAUGAACGCUGGCGGUGUGCCUAAUACAUGCAAGUCGAGCGAAUGGAUUAAGAGCUUGCUCUUAUGAAGUUAGCGGCGGACGGGUGAGUAACACGUGGGUAACCUGCCCAUAAGACUGGGAUAACUCCGGGAAACCGGGGCUAAUACCGGAUAACAUUUUGAACCGCAUGGUUCGAAAUUGAAAGGCGGCUUCGGCUGUCACUUAUGGAUGGACCCGCGUCGCAUUAGCUAGUUGGUGAGGUAACGGCUCACCAAGGCAACGGUGCGUAGCCGACAUGAGAGGGUGAUCGGCCACACUGGGACUGGAACACGGCCCAGACUCCUACGGGAGGCAGCAGUAGGGAAUCUUCCGCAAUGGACGAAAGUCUGACGGAGCAACGCCGCGUGAGUGAUGAAGGCUUUCGGGUCGUAAAACUCUGUUGUUAGGGAAGAACAAGUGCUAGUUGAAUAAGCUGGCACCUUGACGGUACCUAACCAGAAAGCCACGGCUAACUACGUGCCAGCCGCCGCGGUAA